rnacentral:misc_RNA from 1 species
AAGUCGUAACAAGGUUUCCGUAGGUGAACCUGCGGAAGGAUCAUUAAUGAAUUGUAGAGUGGCCUUAACAUCACAUCUGUGGGCUUGCCCGGGGUGCAGGGAAACCUUGCUUUGCCUGUGCCUGAGCCCUUAAGGGUCCGGGGAGUGACACAUUGUGAUGUCGGCGCUCGACCUCAUUUCCAACUCUGUGCAUCUUAUUAUGUCCGUGCCGCAGUUAACUCUGCCACGGACUCACCUUACAAACACUAGUCAAAGAAUGUAUAUAAAUAAAAAACAAAUAAAACUUUCAACAACGGAUCUCUUGGCUCUC